rnacentral:rRNA from 1 species
UACGAAGGGGACUAGCGUUGUUCGGAAUUACUGGGCGUAAAGCGUAUGCAGGCGGACUUUUAAGUCGGGGGUGAAAUCCCGAGGCUCAACCUCGGAACUGCCUUCGAUACUGGAAGUCUUGAGUCCGGGAGAGGUGAGUGGAACUCCGAGUGUAGAGGUGAAAUUCGUAGAUAUUAGGAAGAACACCAGUGGCGAAGGCGGCUCACUGGUCCGGUACUGACGCUGAGGUGCGAAAGCGUGGGGAGCAAACAGGG